CCCUUAGAUGUUCUGGGCUGCACGCGCGCUACACUGGUGCGUUCAGCGAGUUUAGCACCUUAACAGAUAUGUUUGGGUAAUCUUCUGAAAACGCACCGUGAUGGGGAUCGAUUAUUGUAAUUAUUAAUCGUCAACGAGGAAUUCCUAGUAAGUGUGAAUCAUCAGUUCGCGCUGAUUACGUCCCUGCCCUUUGUACACACCGCCCGUCGCUGCUACCGAUUGAGUGGUCCGGUGAGGCUUUGGGAUCUGAGCGGAAAGAGCGUUUCGCUGUUUCUGCUCGGAAAACUCAGUCGAACCUUAUCAUUUAGAGGAAGGAGAAGUCGUAACA
rnacentral:rRNA from 1 species